rnacentral:lncRNA from 1 species
GAGCUGCGUCGGAUAGAAAUCGACCUUAUGCAAGUGCAGGUACACAGAUAUAUGUAUAAGACUUUGAUCGAUUUUGGAAUAACUAAGAUAUAAAAGCUACAUUUUGGUCCGUUUAAAAGGGUUGUCUUCUUAUGAAAACCUACUUUUGGAACAAUUACAGACUUUCCGUAGAAAUUAUUUUAACCCAAAAUAGGUUAACAGAGGUAUUGAUUUUCGUUUGCAUAAGGUCGAGUUCCACAAUAUAUAUGGAUUACACUAUAUACAUUAUUUACACGCUAUCACAUAAUAUAGAUAUACAUGACAUUAUG